CAAUGGCACAAACUCAUUCUUGA
rnacentral:miRNA from 1 species